ACUCGGACAGAGGCGGCCGUCGCCGAGGGAAGGCGGGGAGGGUGAAGGGGUAAACGGUGACGGAAGGAGAGCUGACUUGGGGGGAGGACACAGUACAACAAACAGACGCUGUGUAUAGAAUUGUUCCCCUGAACCUACAUAAUUGUAAUGUCACCCCAGUAAAUUCAAUUAAAAAGCCGUAACACCGGGGCUUCUUCUUCCGGGGGUAGUGCUGGGGCGGUGGUGAGCAGACGCAGACUUAGUCGUGUCCCUGAGACUGGAGAGUCCGCGCAACUCCACGCGCGAUCAUUGCCUUUGACACCGGACGGGAGCGCGCAGCAGGGAAAGCCCGGGUGCGCGUGUGCCCUGUUCUUGUUCAGGUUGCUGCACACGACCUCCCGGGACGCUCUCUGCCGCGGCAUCGAGAAGGCCCCCCGUGCCCUCGCAUCUGCACCUUGGAGGGGUGUGAUGCCUCGCGCUGGGCAUUUAAAGGGAAGGAAACCUGGGUUGUUUUAAGCAGCUGAGGUCGGAGCGUUUUAUUUGUCGCCAGAGCAGAUCUGUGUCACUUCCGAGGGAUGUGAAUGACAGGCUAUUUUACAUGCAAGAAGGAGAGGCCGGAGCCCCCUCAUUGCAAGGUGAGGCUGUGUGUGGACGUGUGAGGAACCCCGGCACCUCAAAAACAAGCGAUUCUAUUCCCUCCCCAUCUUGUCUCUGUUCUUUCCCUCUUGUGGGCUGCUCUCUCGCUGCCGACUGGUAAGUCUAACCCACAUUUAGCAGGAGGACAGACAGUCCAGUUACAAGAGCCUUUUGCUCUAAGCCCCGUCUGGGCUCCCCACCAGCCUAUGGUUGGCUCCCUCUUAUGCCAGGAGCUCCCCCUGACCCAAUGGCCGUUCCCACACAAACUCCACCUCCUCCCCUGGACUGGGAGCUCUUGGCAGGGCAACACGGACCCUAAUGGGACGCUCUCAGCCUUGUCCCAGGACAAUUUAUUUUUCACAGAAUUGUGAAAGUUCUACUUCACAAGAGGAAGUUACAGUCCCUUGUGAAGAGCGAACAUGAGCUCCCUACAAGGCAUGUGCGAGGGUGCCAAGAGGAGGAUGGCGGGGGCCGGGGAGGGGUGAGUCCAGGAGCUCUAGCACUGCUCCUGGCUGUGGCACUGGACACUCGGCCCUGCGGUCCUUCUCAGUCCCCUGCUAAUUGCGAACAUGACCACUCUCCGCAGCUCCUUCCAGCGUCAGCUGUGGCGGGAAACGCUCACCUGCCCAGCCUGGUCUGCCUCACUGCUUGCUGCCGCUGUCCCGCCCCUUCCCUGCACCGGCUUCCUCUCUGCCUUCGCUGCUCUUUGCAUCUCUGACCAGAAGAAGUGGAUCUUGACGGGAAGGACCAGAGGACAGGGGCACCCCUGUGUCAGCUGUUUGCUCAGCUGGUUAUGGAAAGUUAGAGGCUGACCUACAGACAGGACUUCCAGGUCAGAAUUGUCCAAAGAUUUGUUUCCAGUUUCAAUUUCACAGAAAAUAGAACCUCGGGGUUCAGUUAGAAAAGUGGUAGCGGAUGACCCGCCAUGCCUGGCAGUUCCGUCACUGUGACCGUACAGGUGCUGUGAAUGGAGAGCUGCUCACUACCCACCACGUUACCACCAUCUGGGACAUUAGGGAGAAAACCAGGAUUGAAUGUGCCCUUCAUGUGUUUGUUUAUGAAGUAAGAAAAAGGAAAAGUCAAAUAUUCCACUGCAAUGAGGGACUGAUGUUAUUUCUACAGAAAAAAUCCCUUCUUUUUGAAGCACCAUAUACAAAAUCAUAUGUUCAAUAUUACCAAGUACUUUCAGUUUUUCAACUCUUCUCAUAAAUUAAGACGGAAAGAAAAUAUGUGAUUAGAGAACAUUGUUAAAAUUUGGGUUGUUGUCGAGACUCGUUCUUUGGGUACGUGUGAGGGAGAAAGGCAUCCUCCGCUGACUGGGGCCUGGGGACCCAGCUGGGCACCCCUCACAGCGUCAUGCUUCCCCCUCUCAAGCCCAUGAUCUCACUGAACAGGAAGAAGAGGAGGCUCCGUCUCCAGUUAAAAGAAAGGAGUGAAAAAAGAGCAGCACAGGAGUAGGCAGGCGUGUCUGCUCAGCCGCCGAGUGAGACGGGUCCUCACUUCUCCACACUCACAGGAGCAUCUGCGACCGGCAUUUUAGUGGACACACUGGAGGCGAGACUCUGCCCCGAGGGCCCGUCUUCCCAUGUGAGAGGCAAACUGCGCAGCAUGCGUGUUACACGCGACGGCACAGAGGAAGGGAUGGCGAGGUCUGGGAGUCGGGGACGCCCUUGGUUCUGCAGCGAAGGCGACACUUGAGCUGGAUGCUGGAAGUAACAACCAAUUUGCAUAUUGACAGACCAGCAGGAGGUGGGCGGCAGGAGCCAAGUUCCCAGGGGUCUGAGGAGAGUGCCUGACAGGAGCCCGGACUGCAAAGAAGGAAGAGGAAGCGGCCACGGGGAGCUCUUCCAAUUCCCCUGCACAGACACCCUACCCCAGCCCCCGCACCCCCAGGGGGACAGCCAGACACCCUACCCCAGCCCCCAAACCCCCAGGGGAACAGACGGACACCCUACCUCAGCCCCCGCACCCCCAGGGAGACAGCCAGACACCCAACCCCAGCCCCUGCACCCCCAGGGGGACAGACGGACACCCUACCCCAGCCCCCACACUGCCGGGGGGACAGGUAGACACCCUACCUCAGCCCCCGCACCAACGGGGGCACAGACAGAAACCCUACCCCAGCCCCUGCACCACUGCAGGGACAGAUGGACACCCUACCCCAGCCUCUGCACCCCCAGGGAGACAGACAGACACCCUACCCCAGCCCCCACACUCCCAGGGGGGGAUGGAAGGAUACCCUACUCCAGCCCCCGCACUGCCAGGGGGACAGGUAGACACCCUACCUCAGCCCCCGCACCAACGGGGGCACAGACAGAAACCCUACCCCAGCCCCCGCACCUCCAGGGUGACAGGGGGACACCCUACCCCAGCCCCCGCACCCCUGAAGGGACAGGUAGGCUGACCAGACAGGGAGAAGACCCAGCCUCGAGGGUAGCUGCAACCCACACCUCCGACUCCCGAUCUCUUCCCCUGUCACCCCCGCCAGGGGUGCCCACAACAAUAGCACACAGUCGAACACCCUUCAGCGCCCCGAGGCACCCAGGUCUGCACUCCGCCACUGCCGGGCCCUCUCCGCUGGGGCAGACACUCUAUGCAGAAGCUGCCCCCUGAUGGUCAGUGUGCAGCACUGCUCAGCCUGAAGCCGGACUCACAGCUGGCGAGCACAGCAGCAGUGGUGGGAGCCUCUCCCACCUCCGUGGCAAUGCUAAGGAUGUCUG